GACAAGAGGAGGGAUCUGGCUGAGAUGUUUAGCAACCAGAUACAGAAGUGUGAUACUGAAGCCAUCAUCUUAUACAGUGCAAGUCAUCCUGGAAGGCUAAGGCCAGGGGAGUCGUGCAAAUGGGCAAAGUCGGGCUAAGAAUUAAAGGCCGGCUUCUUCUCCUUUUAUUUAGUGCCCUUCCUCAUAGCAGCAUGAGGGCGCCAUUUCUAGGAAUGUUAAAUUUCCUUCCAGAAAGCAAAGUGAGGUUUUCUAAUUAUCAAGUAGAGAGAUCCAUCCUUUUGCUAUGAAGUUCCCGAAGCUGGGAUGAAUUUUAAAGACAUCAUUUAUUAUACUGAUGCACAGAAAUAAAAAAUGUAUUUGCAGGUAUAAGUAAUGAAGGAUUGAGACGAGAAGGUAUUGGAUUCAUGUGGGCCCUAAAUCCAGUAGGUGGCCUUUGUGUAAGGAGACUGUAGUGCCCAGAAAGAAGAAGGGAGACACAGAGGAGAGGGCACAGAAAGGGACAGGGAGAGGAGGGUAAACAAAGCAGGGCACACAGGCAGAGGUUACCAGGGAUGUCUCCACGAGCCAAGCAAUGCCAGCAAUUUAGGUGACCGCCAGAGGCUGGGACAGAGGCCCGGAACAGAUGAUCCUCACAGCCCUCAGAAGGAGCCCGCCCUGCUGACACUUCACUUCAGACUUCUGGCCCCGUGCAGGGUGAAAGAAUACAUUUCUAUUGUUUUCAGCCACCUACUGUGUGUGGGCAGCCACAGAAAACUAACACAGAAGAUUAAAAAAAAAGAUCAGUUGGGUAAGAUUUGGAUGGGAGGCAGCAUGAGUGGCCGCAGAUGGAGACAUUCCAGAGAGGUUUGAGAAUGAAAAGGAAGAACAAAAGUAGAAAUCAUGAGUGUGCUCCUGCCCUGACCCAGCUGUCUCUGACAUGGCAAUCCAUGCUGUGUGAGAAGGUUCCAGGGAAGACGGAUGCCCUGGGGCACCUGCCGGCCUCAGGUUUGUCUGGAUCCACAGAGGAGAGGGACUCCCAGUCCUUGGCCUUCUCCUCAGGAACACAUGAGUCUGGCUGGGCACAAGACCAAGAGGCAUUUGGCUCUGCUCACGCCACUAAUGUGACACAGAUCUACAGCUCUGAUGUUGGCAUGCGGAUCCUAUCAGUCUGGCCAAAGUGUCGCAAGAUGCCUCCACCGUCCUAAUUACUCCCUUUCCCGACUUCUGUGUUUCCUCUUGACAAUUCAGGAGACAUUGUCCUGAUCAACAAAACUAAGCUGUUGUGCGUUUGAAAGAAUAAUAAUUAUUGGCAUGAACAAUUUGUUGGCUAUGUAAAACAUUCUUUCAUUUGAUGGUCAUGGAAAACCCUGACAAGUGUAUUAUUAGAGAGAUAUGUUAUUGUAGAGAGGAUAUAGUUAACUCUCAGUAGUGUAAGUAAUUAGUUCCAAGUCAUAUAAAUAACAAGUAGAAAGACCAAGAUCUGGACUUAGGACUGUUAGAUUCUAAAGCCUGGUCAUUAAUAUUGCUUUUCCAGAAUAUGCUCUAAAUCCUACAAAUAAUUUUUUAAUGACAGACACAUUCCAGUCUUAACAUCGCUGUAUCUACUAUCGUGAAGAAAAAUGAGCUAUGAGUAUAUAGUAUCAGAUGGAAAAUGGGGGCUCCUUUCCAGCCGCCCUCGCAUUCCCACAGGUCUGAAACUGACUUUGAACAGAUCGCACUGAGGUAACUGUGUCUUUACGUAAAAACUGACCUAGAAGCAAUCCAUUUGAGGACACUUUAACAUCACGUUCUAGGCCAAGAGAAAAUAACUUAAAAUAAGAACAUAACCCCUUUAGGGAAAUAAUUUCUUGCUGGCAGAACUCUCAAUCUGCCACAAUUCUCUGAGUCCAGACAACGUGUUUAAUAAAAAGAAAAAAGCAUAAGGGAU
ensembl:lincRNA